rnacentral:rRNA from 1 species
UACAGAGGUGGCAAGCGUUGUUCGGAAUUACUGGGCGUAAAGGGCGAGUAGGUGGCCAUCUAAGUCAGACGUGAAAUCCCCCGGCUUAACCUGGGAACUGCGUCUAAUACUGGACGGCUUGAGUAUGGGAGAGGAACGUAGAAUUCCAGGUGUAGCGGUGAAAUGCGUAGAUAUCUGGAGGAAUACCGGUGGCGAAGGCGGCGUUCUGGACCAUUACUGACACUGAAUCGCGAAAGCUAGGGGAGCAAACGGG